rnacentral:rRNA from 1 species
UACGAGGGGGGCAAAUGUUGUUCGGAAUCACUGGGCGUAAAGGGUGCGUAGGCGGGUUUUUAAGUCAGGGGUGAAAUCCUGGAGCUCAACUCCAGAACUGCCUUUGAUACUGAAGAUCUUGAGUCCGGGAGAGGUGAGUGGAACUGCGAGUGUAGAGGUGAAAUUCGUAGAUAUUCGCAAGAACACCAGUGGCGAAGGCGGCUCACUGGCCCGGUACUGACGCUGAGGCACGAAAGCGUGGGGAGCAAACAGG